AUUGAACGCUGGCGGCAGGCCUAACACAUGCAAGUCGAACGAGUGGCGGACGGGUGAGUAAGGUCUGGGAAACGGCCUGAUGGAGGGGUAUAACUACGGGAAACGGUAGCUAAUACCGCAUACCAUCGGAUGUGCCCAGAUGGGAUUAGCUAGUAGGGGGGGUAAAGGCUCACCGAGGCGACGAUCCCUAGCUGGUCUGAGAGGAUGACCAGCCGCACUGGAGCUGAGACACGGUCGAGAAUCCUGCGGGAGGCAGCAGGGGGGAAUAUGUCCGAGUGGGAGCAAGCCUGAUGCAGCCAUGCCGCGGGUAUGAAGAAGGCCUUCGGGUUGUAAAGUACUUUCAGCGGGGAGGCGUUACCCGCAGAAUAAGCACCGGCUAACUCCGUGCCAGCAGCCGCGGUAAUUC
rnacentral:rRNA from 1 species